AAUGGAAAAUAGACCUUCUAUACACAAAAUUACCUGGCUAAAAAUUGUUGUAAGGCAUGCAAUGCACCAGAGUGUUAUUAAUUUCAUGUAAUAGUGCUGAUAUUAUUGUGAGUACGAAUUUGCUUUCAGUUUCUCAUCAUUUUUAUCACCUUCCUUGCCUGUGUAGGACUGGUUCUUUGUCUUUGUUUUGAUACAGUUUCUCUAUCUAUCAUUUCUCUUUUCCAUCUAAUAAGAAAUAAAUUCCUUAUUUUCACCGUACUGUAGAAGCAUCACUGAAAUGGCUUCUUUGUGGACAUUUUAACCAAAUUUCAUUUACUGAUCUAUAUGUAAUUGCUGUGUAACUUCUUUGUAUUAUCACUAAGAUACAAUUCUUUAUUUUGUUUAAAAUGUUCAAUCAUAAGAGCAUGGUUUACUGGAAGUAUUCCUGAUUCUUUGUCUUCCCUGAGUCAAUUAUCAACUAUGUCUCUGAACGAAAACCAUUUGAGUGGAGAGCUUCCUGAUUCCUUUCAAGGACUUACAGCUUUGGUCAAUUUGUAUG